rnacentral:lncRNA from 1 species
CUUCGAAGUACGGUAAUGGAAUAUUUAGAUUUUUUUUGUCACGAAACGCUUUGUGCGCGUCACCCUUCUUUACCCUUUCGGAUAGUGUCUUGAACGCACGAACAAAACGCCGCUAUUUGGAUAUAACUAUGGAUUAUUUUGAACCAAACCAACAUUUGUUAUUGAAGUAGAAGUCCUGGGAGUGCAUUCUGACGAAGAACAGCAAAGUUUUCCCGGUUUUGUCCUUUCUGCCUGCCCUGACCCUGAGCCUGCCUGCCGUCUGGUACAUUUGCCCCACUACUCUGGAAUACCUACCUCUGCCUGACCCUGAGCCUGCCUGCCGUCCGGUAGCUUUGCCCCACUACUCUGGAUUACUGACCUCUGCCUGACCUGACCCUGAGCCUGACUGCCGUCCAGUACCUUUGUCUGCCCGUGUUCGUAUUAAUAAACCUUUGUUAUUUCGACAUUGUCUGCACCUGGGCAUUACCUUCAAACGUGAUAGAUUUGUAUUGGUAUGAUAUAAACAUGCUGAAUAAAUGGCUAUUAUGUUAUUUAGUAGGAAAUAACAUUCAUUUGAUGAGAAGAUUUCCUGUCCCUCUUUUGCAUGUACAUUUUGAAGGUGCUAUGCUCAUAAAACUAUAUUUCCUGUCCCUCUUAUGCAUGUCCAUGUUGAAGGUGUUAUGCUCAUGAAACUAGGACAGUUGGUUCAAAUAUCAUGAAAUACCAAUGGAUUCCGUCCGAAAUGUCAAAAUAUAGCUAUGGCACUCAAGUGUAUAGUGAAUGUAUGGUGUUGAAUUAAGUUGCUAAGGCCUUUUGACCUAUUCCUAAUUGAUAGACAAGGUGCAAUACUGGGUUAAUCCCAGCAGCCUAUAAACAUACAGAAGCUUUCUAGAUCUAUAUCAGGGGUCUCCAACCUUUUCUAGUUGAGAUCUUUAAAAAAAAUGAAACACGUUGCCAGCUAUUCAAUUUUUUCUAUCUUUCAAAAUAGGCACAUUCUCCUCUUCUCCUCUCCCCUGCAACUGUUCCCCCAUGUCCUUGGUGUGCAAGAGAAAGUAGUGCACUAUGUUUUCUGUCAAUAUAAUUGGUAAAAUAAUAGUUAAUAAACAACUCUAGGGCCUCUUGAGUGGUGCAGCGGUUCAAGGCACUGCAUCGCAGUGUUGUGGCAUCACUACAGCCUGGGGUUUAAUCCCAGCCGUGACCAGGACAACCAGCUGUGAUCGGGAGUCCCAUUGGGCAGUGCACAAUUGGCCCCGCAUCGUCCGGGUUAGGGGAGGGUUUGGCUGGGGGGGGGGGGCUUUAUUUGGCUCAUCGCGCUCUAGUGACUCCUUUGUGGCGGGCUGGGCGCCUGCAGGCUGACUCGGUUGUCAGUUGAACAGUGUUUCCUCCAACACAUUAGUACAGCUGGCUUCCGGUUUAAGCGAGCCGCUGUUAAGAAGCGCGGCUUGGCAGGUCAUGUUUCGGAGGAAGCAUGACUCGACCUUUACCUUUGCAGCGAUGAGAGAAGAUAAUAAUCACGAAAUUGGAGAGAAAAAGUGAAAUUUUAAAAUUCAGUUUUAUAUUUUCCCAAAUGAUGUUUCCUCAGUUUUAAUUUUCCUGGUUUUAGAUUUGUUUUGUUUUUUCUCCAAACAAUCAAAUUGUUCAUAGAGAAACAACGGAAUUGGAUGUUCUGAGUCCAUGUCAAUGGUUAAAUCACAUCAAAAGACAAAACAUUUUUGGGUCUGGAGAAAAAUGAACAAAUACAUUUUUUUGCGUAACUUCCCUUUAGUUGUGCAUCUAGCGAGUGAGGAAUGCCCUGUCUAAUGUUCCGGUCUAGCGAUGCUUCUGUGCUGCUGCUGCUCAUUUCAUCGCAAAGUUUGCAAAUAACAAAUAAUGAUAAACUUCUGCCAGAAUAAGUCUCUCUGAGUGAUCGGUGUAACUGAAAUGCCAGGAUUUUGACAGCUAUACGAAAUGAUCUCUCACAUACAAUAUGUGUCCAACCAGAAGCCAUGGAUUACAGGCAACAUCCGCACUGACCUAAAGGCUAGAGCUGUCACGUUCAAGGAAUGGGACACUAAUUGGACACUUAUAAGAAAUCUUGCUACGACUUCUGAAGAGCCAUCAAAGAGUCAAAACGAAGAAUAGCUGCUGCCUCUGCAAAACCUAACGGGGAUCUAAAUAAACAAAUAAACAAAUAAAACGUCAAUACAGAUCAAAUCCUACUACACUGGCUCUGACGCUUGUCAGAUGUGAGAGGGCUUUUGCAAACUAUCACGGAACACAAAGGAACACAAAGGAAAACCUAGCCGCGAGCUGCCCAGUGACGCUGAUGAGAUGUUUGAUAAUUAUGUGACUAGACUACCACGCAAAGGCACUAUGGAUGUAUUUUCCAUGGUUGACACAGAUAUGCUCAGGAAAGUGACACUAUCACAUCUUAAGCCUACUACCUGCCUUCUCGAUCCUAUCCCACCACCUUCUUCAAACCAGUUUUUAAUUGCAUAUCUGAAGAAGUGCAAGCUAUUGUUAAUCACUUCCUGUUCACUGGCUCUUUCCCCACUGUACUAAAAACUGCAAUGAUGAAACCCCUUCUGAAGAAAAGUAAUCUAGAUUCUUCAGCUCCUAGCAAUUUUUGGCCAAGUUCAAACCUUCCAAC